rnacentral:rRNA from 1 species
UACGGAGGAGGCAAGCGUUAUCCGGAAUUAUUGGGCGUAAAGCGUCCGUAGGUGGUUUAGUAAGUCUGCUGUUAAAGCGCGGGGCUUAACUCCGUAUCGGCAGUGGAAACUACUAGACUAGAGUGUGGUAGGGGUAGAGGGAAUUCCCAGUGUAGCGGUGAAAUGCGUAGAUAUUGGGAAGAACACCGGUGGCGAAGGCGCUCUGCUGGACUGCAACUGACACUCAGGGACGAAAGCUAGGGGAGCGAAUGGG